rnacentral:rRNA from 1 species
GAUGAACGCUGGCGGCGUGCUUAACACAUGCAAGUCGAACGGAAAGGCCCAAGCUUGCUUGGGUACUCGAGUGGCGAACGGGUGAGUAACACGUGGGUGAUCUGCCCUGCACUUCGGGAUAAGCCUGGGAAACUGGGUCUAAUACCGGAUAGGACCACUUCUUGGAUGUUGUGGUGGAAAGUUUUCUCGGUGUGGGAUGAGCUCGCGGCCUAUCAGCUUGUUGGUGGGGUAAUGGCCUACCAAGGCGUCGACGGGUAGCCGGCCUGAGAGGGUGUACGGCCACAUUGGGACUGAGAUACGGCCCAGACUCCUACGGGAGGCAGCAGUGGGGAAUAUUGCACAAUGGGCGCAAGCCUGAUGCAGCGACGCCGCGUGGGGGAUGACGGCCUUCGGGUUGUAAACUCCUUUCGCUAGGGACGAAGCGUUUUUUGUGACGGUACCUGGAGAAGAAGCACCGGCUAACUACGUG